GACGAACGCUGGCGGCGUGCUUAACACAUGCAAGUCGAACGGUAAGGCCCUUCGGGGUACACGAGUGGCGAACGGGUGAGUAACACGUGGGUGAUCUGCCCUGCACUUCGGGAUAAGUCUGGGAAACUGGGUCUAAUACCGGAUAGGACUCCUGGCUUCAUGGUUGGGGGUGGAAAGCUUUUGCGGUGUGGGAUGGGCCCGCGGCCUAUCAGCUUGUUGGUGGGGUAAUGGCCUACCAAGGCGACGACGGGUAGCCGGCCUGAGAGGGUGACCGGUCACACUGGGACUGAGAUACGGCCCAGACUCCUACGGGAGGCAGCAGUGGGGAAUAUAGCACAAUGGGCGCAAGCCUGAUGCAGCGACGCCGCGUGAGGGAUGACGGCCUUCGGGUUGUAAACCUCUUUCAGCACCGACGAAGCGCAAGUGACGGUAGGUGCAGAAGAAGGACCGGCCAACUACGUGCCAGCAGCCGCGGUAA
rnacentral:rRNA from 1 species